GGGACGCGAUGGCUGGCUAUUGCACCAUGUAUAACAAGGAUUCUGGAGCAGUAUGAUGAGCUGAAACUCCAUUUUGAGAUAUCCAAAGAUGAGGAGGAGAAGAACUACACUGCCGAUUUGUUGUACCAGAUGUACUCAGAUCCUGCCAACAAGUUGUACUUGGCUUUUCUGCAGCCUGUGGUGUCCCAGGUCAACCGGGUUAACAAAUUGUUUGAGUCAGACCGGUGCAAUGCCAACAGACUCCUGGAAGAUUUGAUGUCCCUCUACAAGUCCAUUCUCCAGCGACUCAUGAUGCCGCGAACUUUCUGCACGUGGAAAGCUGUGGCAGAUUAUGAUGUGAACGACGAACGGAACCAUCUGCCGCUGGAAGCUGUGGACUUCGGUGUGAAGUUCUACAUCGAACUGGGUCAGAGCAGGUUGGACAGCGGAAUUGUUCACACCGUUAAGAAGCACGGGCGUGACUUCCUGAUGAAGCUUCUUCAGGAGCUGCAGCAAAGGCUUCCAUCAAAUAUUAACCAUCUCCAGAGCUUGGAUGCCCUGACCCCAGAAACCGUUCUCGGAGUGAGGAAACCAAGACUGCAGGAGCUGUCUUUCUUACCAAAAUAUUCGGGGGAUAUUGGUAAGCUCGACGAGCAGUGGCAAAGACUUGCAACUGUCAGCUGGCCAAAAGAUGUGAUAAACGACUCCGAAAAGUUUUGGUUAACUGUUCACAGCCACCAGGACGCCUCAGGGGAGCGGGAUUUUAAGGAGGUAGGGCAGUUUGCUCUGUCCAUGCUUUCGCUGCCCAUUAGCAAUGCCUCUGUUGAACGGGUUUUUUCCCAAAUGAACUUGAUAAAGAAUAAACUUAGGAACAGGAUGCAACACAAGAGUCUAGAAAACACAUUACAUGUACGUGCAUUCAUGAAUAGAAACAACAUGUGUUGUAGGGAGUUCGACCCCACACAGGAAAUGCUGUCAAUGUUCACAAAGGACAUCUAUACCAAUGUUGAUGAGCAUGAGUAUGUUGAGGUGCCUGAUGUAUAAAUGUACUGAAAAUAAACAUAUAGCAUGUAUGUUAAUAUACUCUAGCAUGUAAAGUAUAAUUAGGUAGGCAUUAAUGUUAAUAAAGGUACAUAAUUUGUCAAAUAUUUUUUUUCCUGUUAUAAUAUAGCUAUACGUCUCAGUCGUCUUGAGCAUCAUACUACUGAUAAUUCUAAUUUUGGGCUGCUUUUGGGCUGUUUUUUGUGACCGAGGUCGCGGGUUUUGGGCGGGUUUUGGGAUGGAAUGGCGCGGGAUAUCAGUCCACGACCUGGCAACUCUGAUGUGCC